rnacentral:rRNA from 1 species
CCCUACGGGACGCAGCAGUGAGGAAUAUUGGUCAAUGGGCGAGAGCCUGAACCAGCCAAGUCGCGUGAGGGAAGACGGUCCUAUGGAUUGUAAACCUCUUUUGCCGGGGAGCAAAAAGCGGUACGUGUACCGCAUCGAGGGUACCCGGAGAAAAAGCAUCGGCUAACUCCGUGCCAGCAGCCGCGGUAAUACGGAGGAUGCGAGCGUUAUCCGGAUUUAUUGGGUUUAAAGGGUGCGCAGGCGGCGAGUUAAGUCAGCGGUAAAAUUUCGGGGCUCAACCUCGACGAGCCGUUGAAACUGGCUUG